UACUCUGUAUACAUAUCUCAUUGUCACCAGUUCAUUUAGUUCUCCGUCUCCGAUUAACUUCUUUCUCUGAUAUCUCGGGCUGAUCUUUUCUUCUGUAUUCCUCAAUCGAUCUCUCAUCCACUCUGUCGUGUCUGCUGGUUACAUCUUCUUCCAUCCUCACUCUUCGAACUUCUGAGGAUCUCGUUUCUCAAGCUUCAACUUCAAAUCCUAGAGCUUAAUUUUCGUCUUCUUCGUGCUUACUUCGGCGUCGAUUUGCUUCUUAACAGAGUUUCAAACGUGGAAACGGCUUCAUCAUUGGCGGCGGUAAAGUUUAUGAUGCCAAAUUCUUUGUGUUUGUCUGUCUUCUUAUAAUUAAAGUUGGAAUUUCUGACAUAUUUCGAUCGCGGUUCUUUGUAACAGUGAUGAGCUUGGAAAUUCUCUGGAGCAUAACAUUGUUCAUGGAUAUGUCAUAUCUCUCAUUAGCUGCAUCCUUGAUAAUCGUCUUUUCAUGGAAAAUUUAUUGAAACAGAAGCUCUCAGAACUUCCAGAAAAAUACAGAAGAAACUCUCUUCUAGCUUUACUUUAUGGUCUCAUUGCCAAAUUGUUAUUGUGGACCUACUGAUAUGCAUAUAUCUGAGGUUCUUUGUAUAGGGUGAUGGUGCAUCUUCCAGCUCGAGUGGCUUUCAUGUCAAUGGGCUUAAUAUUUUUAUUGUUUGAAUUCUUACAAUGAGAUCUCGCUCCGUGGGAAAAGGAUAUCAUGACGAAACUAUAAUGAAUGAGGCUCCUCAUUUCCAUUAUAAUUUUUCAGCCGCUGCACCUCCAAGGACCUACCACCAAACAGGGAAUUUUUCAUCAUUUGCCAACCCAAGAAGCCAUGCUUUCCCGCAUACUAAUUACAGACCAAAUGCCUCUACUAACUACAGACCAAGUGCCUCUACUAACUACAGACCAAAUGCCUCUACCAACUACAUACCAAAUGGUUAAUGCAAGUGGGCAAUUUGUUGGAGUAGCAUAGAUGCUUGGGCCAGUAGACUUCAAAAAAGGUAUCAAGUUUUGGAAACUUGAUAAAUACAACGGGUUCUUCCCAAAUUAAGUGGCACAUCAUCCUUCAAAAUAAUGAGAACAAGUGUGUAACUUUCCAUAGGGACACACAAGAGAUUGGACUGAAACAGGAUCUGGAAAUGCUGAAAAUAUUUAAAAGUUAUCCAGCUAAGACUUCUUUAUUGGAUGAUUUUGAUUUCUACGAAAAUCAAGAGAAGUUACUUCAUUCGCAAAAGACUACUGAGCAUACUGGCCAAAAAACAGGAAGUGUACAACAGUGACAAUUACUAUAAACAAGUGUCGGGGAAGGUGGUUGUGAAGGGGCCUAAAGUGGGAAGACUGUUUCCACUCCAGUUUAUUUCGAGUCAUUUAUCUCUUGUUUGUAAUAAUAUUUUGAAUUCUUAUGAGGAUUGACAGAAAAUUGGGUCAUCACAACUCUGCUAUUUUGUCUCAUUUAUUUAAAAAUGGUUUGUUGUAAAAUAAGAAUGUUGUUUCUAAUGCCUCUCUUUCAUGUUCUGUUUGCAAAUUGGCUAAAAGUAAAACACUUCCUUUUCCGUCUGGUGCUUAUCAGGCUUCCUCUUGUUUUGAAAUGAUUCAUAGUGAUGUAUGGGGUAUGUCUCCUGUAGUUUCUCUUGCUCGCUACAAAUAAUUUGUCACAUUUAUUGAUGACUAGUCGUUUUACUUGGAUAUAUUUUCUUCGGUCUAAAUCUGAAGUGUUUUCUAUGUUUAAGAAAUUUCUUACAUAUGUUGAAACUCAAUUUCAUGGAAGUGUUAAAAUUUUUCGCUCCGACUCUAGUGGGGAGUACAUGUCUCGCGAGUUUCAGGAAUUUCUUCAACAAAAAGGCAUUUUGUCUCAACGAUCUUGUCUCAAUACCCCUCAACAAAAUGGGAUGGCAAAAUGCAAGAAUCAUCAUUUGCUUGAUGUGACACGCACUUUACUUCUUCAAGCUUCUGUACCACCCCGAUUUUGGGUGGAGGCUCUUUCCAUAGCUGUCAUCUUGAUCAAUCGUCUUCCUUCUACGGUUAUUGAUCUCGAUUCUCUUUUUUUUCUUCGUCUUUUUAAAAUUCAGCCUAAUUAUAAUGAUAUACAUACUUUUGGGUGUUUGUGUUUUGUUCACUUAGCUCCAUUGAAAGGCAUAAGCUUGGAGUACAGUCCGUUCAAUGUGCAUUUUUGGGAUAUGUCACUCUCAUAAGAGAUUUGUGUGUUAUGAUGUCACUAACCAUCGUUUUCGCAUUUCUAAGAAUGUGACUUUUUUUAUUAUCAAUUUAUGUUUCCUUGUGUUUCUCCUGCCAUUGAUGAUAUUGUUACUCUUCCUAAGUUUUCUAUUAUGCCUCACUCUAUAGAAUUUUACAAACCAGGGCAUGUAUAUGUCAGAAAACAUAGACAAUAGGUUCCCACGCCCCUUCUCGACGCUAAAUCGCCACCUGAUCUUGUACCGGUUGAACCACGACGAUAUGUCGAAUAUCUCGCGCACCAGAUAGAUAUUCACCAGACAGGUAUGAUUCCUUAUAUACCUCUCUGACUGCCACUCUCUCUAGCAUAUAUAUUCCUACUUGUUACUCACAGGCUAUUAAAGAUGUUCGAUGGAUAAAAACAAUGAAUGAAGAGCUUCAAGCUCUUCAAGAGAAUUUCACAUGGGAUAUUGUCUCUUGUCUUCCCGAUGUCAAACCUAUAGGUUGCAAAUGGGUGUAUUAUGUGAAAUUGAAUUCUGAUGGGAUCCUCAACCGUUAAAGGCUUGUUUGCUUGCUUUAGGAAACAAGCAGGAAUAUGUAAUUGAUUAUGAUGAGACAUUUGCACCAGUUGCCAAAAUGACAACUGUUCGCACGAUCAUCUCUAUAGCUGAUUCUAGUGGGUGGUCUCUUCAUCAAAUGGAUGUGAAAAAUGCUUUUCUUCAUGGUGACUUGACAGAAGAUAUUUAUAUGACUCCACCUCAAGGAUUAUUCUCUUCAUCUAAAGGAGUGUGCAAGCUUAAACGCUCCUUAUAUUGUUUGAAACAAACACCUAAAGCAUGGUACGAGAAAUUCCGCUCCAGUCUACUUGGAUUCUCCUUUACUCAGAGUCAGUAUUCAUGGUACAUCUGCUGGUAUUGUUCGACUUCUUUUGUAUGUUGAUGAUAUGGUUAUUAUUGGUUCUGAUCAUGCUUCCAUUCAGUGACUUAAGCAACAGUUACAUGCCUCAUUUCACAUGAAAGAUCUGGGUAAUCUACAUUACUUUCUCGGUCUUGAGGUUCAUUCUACAUCCAAGGGCAUCUUUCUCCAUCAACACAAGUAUGCUACGGAUUUUUCUAUGGUCGGUCUCCAAUCGGCUAAUCCGGUAGAUACUCCUCUUGAGGUUAAUGUUAAAUAUCAUCGUGAUGAUGGUGAUCUCUUGCCUGAUCCCUUAUUGUAUCGACAACUUGUGGGUAGCCUUAGCUACUUGACUAUUACUCGCCCUGACAUAUCUUUUGCUGUUCAACAAGUAAGUCAAUUCAUGCAUUUUCCUCGCCAUCUUCACUUGCCUGCGGUUCGUCGUAUAAUUCGCUACUUAAAGGGAACCUCUCACCGCGGAUUAUUCUUUUCUGUUGGAAUUUCUCUUAAGUUAAGUGCUUAUUGUGAUGUUGAUUGGACAGGGUGUCUUGAUACUCGUCUAUCUGUCACUGGUUGGUGCAUGUUUCUUGGUUCUUCAUUGAUCUCUUGGAAAAGUAGGAAGCAAGCAAGAGUUUCUAAAUCUUCUACUAAAUCAGAGUAUCGUGCCAUGUCUGCUGCUUGCUUAGAAAUACUUUGGCUUUGUGGUCUUUUGGCUGAACUUUGAUUUCCCCAAACAGAGCCAAUUUCACUUUCUGCUGACAAUACAAGUGACAUUCAUAUUGUUGCAAAUCUUAUUUUUCAUGAAUGCACCAAACAUAUAGAAGUUGAUUGUCAUUCCAUAUGUGACGCCUACGAUGAUCGAAUGAUAUCACUUUCUCACGUCAGUACUCAGUUGCAGGUUGCAGAUAUUCUUACCAAGGCUGUUCCAUAUCCACGUCAUCAUUUUCUUGUUAGCAAAUUGAUGCUCCAUGGCCAGCCGCAUCAAUUUGAAGGGGGAUGUUAAUCAGGAAAUAAUCCUUGUAUUUAUUGUGAAUAAUUUACUUUCAUGGAAUAGAAAAUUAGUCGUUACGAGUUGUGAUUAGUCGUUACGAGUUGUAAUUAGUAAUUAUGAAUUGUAAUUACCUACACUAUCAUAUAUAGUAUCCAAUACAAUGAGAAAUGCAUGAAGCCAAUUUUACUGACACCUAUGUCUUUAUGUGGAUGAUCUAUUGGGCAUAGGUUCUAAUGAAGAGGAAUUGACAAAAGUUAAAAGCAAACACGUAGGAUGAGUUUGAAAUGUCAGACGUUUAAAAGUUGACAUACUUCCUAGGAAUGGAAAUUAUGAACACCAAGCAUGGAGCUUUCUUGCAUCAGAAGAAAUAUAUAGAACACAAUUGUGAAGAAGUUCAAGAGGAGUAAUUGCAAACUUGCAAGUACACCUUUGGAAACCAACAUUAAAUUGAAGAAAGAGUCGGAUGAUGAACUGGCGGGUAACACUCUGUAUAUGCAGAUCAUUGGUUCAUUGAGGUAUCUUUGCAAUACAAGGAAUGAUAUUUGUCAUAGUAUGAGACUGGUUAGUAAAUUCAUGAAGAAACCAAGGCUAAUUCAUCUACUUGCAUAAAAAAGGAUCCUAAGAUACAUUAGAGGUACAACAGACCAUAGAGUAUUCAUGCUAAAUCCACAAAACACAAGAAUGUUAGCCAAUGUGUAUGGUUAUUUUGAUUCAUAUUCGAGUGGUGAUCAAGAUGAUAGAAAUAGCACAUUUGGUUACUUGUUCAUGCUUGCAUUAGCACCAAUCUUAUGGAGUUCAAAGAAGCAAGAAAUUGUGGCUCUCUCUACAUGUGAGACAGAGUAUGUUCCAGUCUCCUAUGUUGCAUGUCAAGCAUUUUGGUUAGAGGUGAUACUUGAAGAACUGAAUGUAAGUGACUGUGGGCAGAUCAAGUUGCCAGUAGACAAUAAGUCAGCAAUUGAUUUAGCAAAACACGCUAUGAGUCGUGGUAGGAGUAGACACAUAGAGAUGGGGGUAUUAUUUCUUAAGGGAUCAAGUUGGUAAAGAAAGAUUGAAGAUUGAGUAUUGCAAGACUGAAAUGCAAUUAAUUGACAUUCUAUCAAAAUCCUUUGAAGCAAGCAAGAUUUGAAGACCUCAAAGGAUUAAUGGGAAUGAAGAACUUAAGAAAUCUAAAUUAAGAAUGGUAUUAGAUAUGUCAUUCAAUUUUAGAAGUUAGUUAUAAUGUAGCUAGACAACUAUAACUAACUUCACAUCUGGUUACUAUCAGUUAUGCAAAUGGUUGUUGUCAGUUAUGUAAGUGGUUAGUGCUGGUUAUGCAAAUGGUUACUAACUGAAUUUUGUUAGUUAGUAGUAUGAUCUUAUAUAAAUGAUGUAACACGUGUUUGUAACUUUCAAUUCCAUUCCAAUAAUUCCUCUCUCUCUCUCAAUUGCUCUUUAUUCUAUUCAUUUUCCUUUUAUUAUUGCCUUUCAUUUUUUACAUACCUAAACAUAUAAUUCUAUUUAACCAAUAAUUCUUUGAACUUUAUUGACAUCAAACAAAAUUUGACAUGGAAUGAACCUUGUGAUGAAGAGAAACUAAAUUAUGUAUCAUUUGAAUUGGUGAACCGCGUGUCGAAUAAUAGUAAUACAAUCUACUAUUGUUAUUUAAUAGAGUUAAAACAAAAUUUUAUCUACAAUUUCACUGUGCAAGACAUUUUUCUUGCAACUAGAGUCAAACUUGAUCCAGAAAUUGGAUGCACCCAAUUUGACAUGGGUUUCAACAAAUGUAGCUUGUCCAUUACUUUGAAAUACAAAGGAAGUCUUAAUCUCUCACCAAAUCAGGCAUCUCUCUAGUAUUCUUUUAAUUGUAUUUGACAUAUUUGCAAGUGUUGGGAAAAGUCAAUACAAUUAUUGUUUGUUUUCAUUAUUAUGGUUCUUCUGUGUAAAAGAUUCCAAGUAAUAUCUUUGGAAUUGUUAUGAAUCAUAAAGCAGAUAAGGAAACUAUUUUAACGAAAUAUUGUUUGGAAGAUGAUCUUGAGAUUGAUUAUGUUCUAUAAUCAUCUAUUGUUGUAGAGGAAACGCCAGUUGUUGAUUGGUUAACUAUUAAUUCUGUUUAUCCAUCUAUACUCGAGUGUAUGUAUCAUAAAGCCAAUAUACGUAUCGAAGAGGAUUUUGUUUGUCGUUGCAUAUUGCGAAAUCCUUUGAUUUUUACUCCGCAUAAUGGUCGUAAUUACAUCACCAUAGGUAUAAUGGAAUUGAAUGGAAACUCACCACUUGAAGUAAAAGAUGAUAGAAGUUACUACGUACAAGAAGUUCUUUAGACAAAACAAAAGUAAAAGAUUUUUCGUAGAUUUUAUUCUCAAGUUAAUUUAUCUACUUGGGUGCCUUAUCUAUUUACUUAGCCAAAUAUGAGUUCAUCAAACUAAUGCAUUCUAAUGUAUUAGAGUGCAAUAGUUUAAUAUACUCAUAUUUGACCAAGUAGAUAGAUAAGACAUUCGAAUAGAUAGAUUAACUUAAACAUCUACAAAAUAUUCACUUACUUUUGUUCUGGCUAAUGUACUCCUUGCAUGUGGUAACUUCAUCAUCCCUUACUUCCAGAGGUGAGUUUCCGUUCAAUUCCAUUAUAUCAGUGAUGUAAGUAUGACCAUUAUGCGGAGUACAAAUCAAAGCAUUUCGCAAUAUACAACUGCAAACUAAACACUUUUCAAUACGUAUAUUGGUUUUAUGAUGCAUACACUCGAGUAUAGACGGAUAAACGAAAUUAAUAGUUAACCAAUCAACCAUUUGUGUUUCCUUUAUAGCAAUAGAUGACAACAAAAAGAUAAUCAAUCUCAAGAUCAUCUUCCAAACACCAUUUCGUUAAAAUGAUUUCCUUAUCCGUUUUAUGAUUCAUAAGAAUUCCAAGCACAUUUACCUGAAAUCUUUUACACCGAAAAAUUUAAAUAAUGAAAACAAACAAUAAUUGUAUUGAUAUUUCUCAACACUUGCAAAUAUGUCAAAUACAUUUAAAAGAAUAGUAGACAUAUACCUGUUCUAGCGAAGAGAUUAAGACUUCCUCUGUAUUUUGAGGUAGCGGGCAAGCUACCUUUGUCGAAACCCAUAUCAAAUUGCAUGCAUCCAAUUUUCGGAUCAAGUUCGACUCUAGUUGCAAAAAAAAUGUCUUGCACAUUAAAAUCGUAGAUAAAAUUUUGUUUUAACUCUAUUAAAUAACAAUAGUAGAUUGUGUUACUAUUAUUUAACACGCGGUUCAUCAAUUUCAAUGGUACAUAACUUGAUUUCUCUUCAUCGUAUAAUUCAUUCUCUGUCAGAUUUAAUGUAAUGUCAAUAAAGUUCAAAAAAUUAUAUAGUCAAAUAGAACUAUAUGUGAAAUAUGAAAGACAACAAUAAAAGGAAAAAUAAAUAGAAGAUACAAGAAGUUACCAAAUUUCUUGCCCACAUUAGAAAGAACAAGAUUAUCUAUGUACACUCCAAUCUGGUGAUGUUGUUUGCAUGCUUCAAGGCAUGCAAUAUUCUUUUUGUAUCACCUUAAAGAAUAUUUUAGCCCGAGUUAAGCUAACCAUAGAGGGUAAAUGAAAUUGACACCUUGUUUAGUCCUGACUAGCAGUGCAAUUGCUCCUUAAGUAUCUGCAGCAUCAGUUCCCUUCCAUAUUUACAGCUCUUAAUGAAUCAACAAGUGCAAGCACAGCGAAAAGACAUUGGACAUUCCUCUUGAGAAUGUCACCUACUGGAAACUGCUUCAGUAAUUCAUGAAGUGCAAGUGAUUCAUUUUGUUUACCUUCCGAGGCUCCUUCUGCCCAAACUCUUGUUAAAGCUGAAACAAUGUCUUCAGCAAGAGCUUCAGCGGCAAUAAAAGGAUAAAAAAGAAGAUUGGCUAAUGCAGCAACAUCAGUUUCCGCAGCAUCAACAGAAGAUGUUUUAUCUAUUUUGCCCAUUUUGCUCCAGCAGCGGCGAUUGUCCAUUUCCUGUCAUCAACCUGCUGAGUUAAGAUCGCUAACAAUUGAACUGAGUAGUACUCUUGAUGCUGCUCAAUAGAUAAUCCCACCAAUAAUAUCACUUUCUCGUUUCUUAAUGAUCUCUCAUAUUUCAAUCCUUUGACAACACAAGCUUGUCAAUGGAAGUAUCAGAUUACUUUGCCCAUCAGGAGCAGCCGUAGUUAUAACUCCAAUUAAAAACCUUUUUUGAAAUUAUUUUUGAAUAUGCUUGAACAAGUGAUUGGUACAGUGGUUCGAUUUAUUUGUUCGAUUCAGCGGUUCGGCUCAUCGGUUCGGUUCAGUGGCUCGGUUCAAUGGUUCAAUUCAUCGGUUUUGUUCAAUAGUUCGGUUCAAUGGUUCGAUUGAUUGGUUCGGUUCAAUGGUUCAAUUCAUCAGUUCUGUUCUUUGGUUGGUUCUUCGGUUCGGUUCAUCAAUUCGGUUUAUCGGUUCGUUUCAAUGAUACUCUUGGUGUUACUUUCUUCCUUUCAACUUGCAGGGUCUUUUAAAUAUUUAAGACAAUUUUUCAGCUCUAUAUCAUUUAUACGUUGGUUGUCAAGGAUUGUGGAUGAGAAGAAGUUGGUUGGAAAUAUGGCUGCUAGUGGUAUUUA